rnacentral:rRNA from 1 species
CAAGUCGAACGAUNAACCUCCUUCGGGAGGGGAUUAGUGGCGAACGGGUGAGUNACACGUGGGCAAUCUGCCCUUCACUCUGGGACAAGCCCUGGAANCGGGGUCUAAUACCGGAUACGANCCUCCAAGGCAUCUUGGNGGUUGGAAAGCUCCGGCGGUGAAGGAUGAGCCCGCGGCCUAUCAGCUUGUUGGUGAGGUAACGGCUCACCAAGGCGACGACGGGUAGCCGGCCUGAGAGGGCGACCGGCCACACUGGGACUGAGACACGGCCCASACUCCUACGGGAGGCAGCAGUGGGGAAUAUUGCACAAUGGGCGAAAGCCUGAUGCANCGACCCGCGUGAAGGAUGACGNCUUCYGGUU